rnacentral:rRNA from 1 species
UCGAGGAUAUUUAGCAAUGGACGAAAGUCUGACUAUGUGACGCCGCGUGAGGGAUGAAGGUCUUCGGAUCGUAAACCUCUUUCGAUAGGGAAGAAAACCUAUUCUUAACGGAAUAGACUGACGGUACCUAGAGAAGAAGCCACGGCCAACUCUGUGCCAGCAGCCGCGGUAAUACAGAGGUGGCGAGCGUUACUCGGAUGUAUUGGGUGUAAAGGGCAAGUAGGCGUCUGUACAAGUUAGGGGUGAAAUCCUGCAGCUCAACUGCGGAACUGCUCUUAAAACUGUUGGGAUUGAGGUUGGGAGAGGAAAGCGGAAUGCGCGGUGUAAGAGUGAAAUCUGUAGAUAUCGAGAGGAACACCAGUGGCGAAGGCGGCUUUCUGGCCCAGUACUGACGCUGAAUUGCGAAAGCUAGGGGAGCAAACA